UUUCAUUUUUAUUUUUACUUUUUUGCUACAUUGGAAUUUAAACGUGCUGCAGGGAUUGCCCGCGGUACAUGGAGGAAUUCCUUAUCACAAUUGGUUUACGUGGAGAAAUUGAGCCCUAACCUUUAAUUUUGAUCAUAAAUGUGUUGACCAAACAUAUAUGAGAUGAUAUAUCUCAUAAGGGAGAAGCAUUGUGAUGUCAAUCAAAUGAUCAAGGUAGAGUAGCUGAAAUGGAGAAGUGCAUUGUGAGUGAGUC
rnacentral:misc_RNA from 1 species